UGGGGCACUUGGGGCCUACGGGAGGCAGCAGUGGGGAAUAUUGCGCAAUGGGGGAUACCCUGACGCAGCAACGCCGCGUGGGUGAUGAAGGUCUUCGGAUUGUAAAGCCCUGUUUUCUGGGACGAUAAUGACGGUACCAGAGAGAGGAAGCCACGGCUAACUACGUGCCAGCAGCCGCGGUAAU
rnacentral:rRNA from 1 species